GAUGAAGAACGUAGCGAAAUGCGAUAAGUAAUGUGAAUUGCAGAAUCCAGUGAAUCAUCGAAUCUUUGAACGCACAUUGCGCCCGCCAGCAUUCUGGCGGGCAUGCCUGUUCGAGCGUCAUUUCAACCCUCGACCUCCCUUUGGGGAAGUCGGCGUUGGGGACCGGCAGCACACCGCCGGCCCUGAAAUGGAGUGGCGGCCCGUCCGCGGCGACCUCUGCGUAGUAAACCAACUCGCACCGGAACCCCGACGUGGCCACGCCGUAAAACACCCAACUUCUGAACGUUGACCUCGAAUCAGGUAGGACUACCCGCUGAACUUAAGCAUAUCAUAACGGAGGA
rnacentral:misc_RNA from 1 species